rnacentral:rRNA from 1 species
AUUGAACGCUGGCGGCAGGCCUAACACAUGCAAGUCGGACGGUAGCACAGAAGAGCUUGCUCUUUGGGUGACGAGCGGCGGACGGGUGAGUAAUGUCUGGGAAACUGCCUGAUGGAGAGGGAUAACUACUGGAAACGGUAGCUAAUACCGCAUAACCUCGCAAGAGCAAAGAGGGGGACCUUCGAGCCUCUCGACAUCAGAUGUGCCCAGAUGGGAUUAGCUAGUAGGUAGGGUAAUGGCUCACCUAGGCGACGAUCCCUAGCUGGUCUGGGAGGAUGACCAACAACACUGGAACUGAGACACGGUCCAGACUCCUACGGGAGGCAGCAGUGGGGAAUAUUGCACAAUGGGCGCAAGCCUGAUGCAGCCAUGCCGCGUGUGUGAAGAAGGCCUUCGGGUUGUAAAGCACUUUCAGCGGGGAGGAAGGCGGUAAGGUUAAUAACCUUAUCGAUUGACGUUACCCGCAGAAGAAGCACCGGCUAACUCCGUGCCAGCAGCCGCCGUAA